GAACGGUGAAGCCAAGCUUGCUUGGUGGAUCAGUGGCGAACGGGUGAGUAACACGUGAGCAACCUGCCCUGGACUCUGGGAUAAGCGCUGGAAACGGCGUCUAAUACUGGAUAUGAGCCUCUAUCGCAUGGUGGGGGUUGGAAAGAUUUUUUGGUCUGGGAUGGGCUCGCGGCCUAUCAGCUUGUUGGUGAGGUAAUGGCUCACCAAGGCGUCGACGGGUAGCCGGCCUGAGAGGGUGACCGGCCACACUGGGACUGAGACACGGCCCAGACUCCUACGGGAGGCAGCAGUGGGGAAUAUUGCACAAUGGGCGGAAGCCUGAUGCAGCAACGCCGCGUGAGGGAUGACGGCCUUCGGGUUGUAAACCUCUUUUAGCAGGGAAGAAGCGAGAGUGACGGUACCUGCAGAAAAAGCGCCGGCUAACUACGUGCCAGCAGCCGCGGUAAUACGUAGGGCGCAAGCGUUAUCCGGAAUUAUUGGGCGUAAAGAGCUCGUAGGCGGUUUGUCGCGUCUGCUGUGAAAUCCCGAGGCUCAACCUCGGGCCUGCAGUGGGUACGGGCAGACUAGAGUGCGGUAGGGGAGAUUGGAAUUCCUGGUGUAGCGGUGGAAUGCGCAGAUAUCAGGAGGAACACCGAUGGCGAAGGCAGAUCUCUGGGCCGUAACUGACGCUGAGGAGCGAAAGGGUGGGGAGCAAACAGGCUUAGAUACCCUGGUAGUCCACCCCGUAAACGUUGGGAACUAGUUGUGGG
rnacentral:rRNA from 1 species